GAAGGUAAAAUGUGGUUGUCGCUGCUAACGAUAAAUUGAAUAGUUUAUGCUGUUCUACUUUCU
rnacentral:tRNA from 1 species